ACUGCUCAGUAACACGUGGAUAACCUGCCCUUGGGUCCGGCAUAACCCCGGGAAACUGGGGAUAAUUCCGGAUAACGCACAUAUGCUGGAAUGCUUUAUGCGUAAAAUGGAUUCGUCUGCCCAAGGAUGGGUCUGCGGCCUAUCAGGUAGUAGUGGGUGUAAUGUACCUACUAGCCUACGACGGGUACGGGUUGUGAGAGCAAGAGCCCGGAGAUGGAUUCUGAGACAUGAAUCCAGGCCCUACGGGGCGCAGCAGGCGCGAAAACUUUACAAUGCGGGAAACCGUGAUAAGGGGACACCGAGUGCCAGCAUCCUAUGCUGGCUGUCCAGGUGUGUAAACUACACCUGUUAGCAAGGGCCGGGCAAGACCGGUGCCAGCCGCCGCGGUAACACCGGCGGCCCGAGUGGUGAUCGUGAUUAUUGGGUCUAAAGGGUCCGUAGCCGGUUUGGUCAGUCCUCCGGGAAAUCUGACAGCUUAACUGUUAGGCUUUCGGAGGAUACUGCCAGACUUGGAACCGGGAGAGGUAAGAGGUACUACAGGGGUAGGAGUGAAAUCUUGUAAUCCCUGUGGGACCACCUGUGGCGAAGGCGUCUUACCAGAACGGGUUCGACGGUGAGGGACGAAAGCUGGGGGCACGAACCGGAUUAGAUACCCGGGUAGUCCCAGCCGUAAACGAUGCUCGCUAGGUGUCAGGCAUGGCGCGACCGCGUCUGGUGCCGCAGGGAAGCCGUGAAGCGAGCCACCUGGGAAGUACGGCCGCAAGGCUGAAACUUAAAGGAAUUGGCGGGGGAGCAC
rnacentral:rRNA from 1 species